rnacentral:rRNA from 1 species
GGCCAGACCCCUACGGGAGGCAGCAGUGGGGAAUAUUGCACAAUGGGGGGAACCCUGAUGCAGCGACGCCGCGUGGGUGAAGAAGUCAUUCGUGACGUAAAGCCCUGUCAGCAGGGAAGAAAAUGACGGUACCUGAAGAAGAAGCCCCGGCUAACUACGUGCCAGCAGCCGCGGUAAUACGUAGGGGGCAAGCGUUAUCCGGAUUUACUGGGUGUAAAGGGGGCGCAGACGGCGAUGCAAGCCAGGAGUGAAAGCCCGGGGCCCAACCCCGGGACUGCUCUUGGAACUGCGUGGCUGGAGUGCAGGAGGGGCAGGCGGAAUUCCUGGUGUAGCGGUGAAAUGCGUAGAUAUCAGGAGGAACACCGGUGGCGAAGGCGGCCUGCUGGACUGCAACUGACGUUGAGGCCCGAAAGCGUGGGGAGCAAACAGGAUUAGAUACCCGAGUA